GGGUUGUGAGGUUAAGCGACUAAGCGUACACGGUGGAUGCCCUGGCAGUCAGAGGCGAUGAAGGACGUGCUAAUCUGCGAAAAGCGUCGGUAAGGUGAUAUGAACCGUUACAGCCGGCGAUGUCCGAAUGGGGAAACCCAGUGUGAUUCGUCACACUAUCGUUAACUGAAUACAUAGGUUAACGAGGCGAACCGGGGGAACUGAAACAUCUAAGUACCCCGAGGAAAAGAAAUCAACCGAGAUUCCCCCAGUAGCGGCGAGCGAACGGGGAGCAGCCCAGAGUCUGAAUCAGCUUGUGUGUUAGUGGAACGGUCUGGAAAGUCCGACGGUACAGGGUGAUAGUCCCGUACACCAAAAUGCACAGGCUGUGAACUCGAAGAGUAGGGCGGGACACGUGGUAUCCUGUCUGAAUAUGGGGGGACCAUCCUCCAAGGCUAAAUACUCCUGACUGACCGAUAGUGAACCAGUACCGUGAGGGAAAGGCGAAAAGAACCCCGGCGAGGGGAGUGAAAAAGAACCUGAAACCGUGUACGUACAAGCAGUGGGAGCACCUUCGGGUGUGACUGCGUACCUUUGUAUAAUGGGUCAGCGACUUAUAUUCUGUAGCAAGGUUAACCGUAUAGGGGAGCCGCAGGGAAACCGAGUCUUAACUGGGCGUUAAGUUGCAGGGUAUAGACCCGAAACCCGGUGAUCUAGCCAUGGGCAGGUUGAAGGUUGGGUAACACUAACUGGAGGACCGAACCGACUAAUGUUGAAAAAUUAGCGGAUGACUUGUGGCUGGGGGUGAAAGGCCAAUCAAACCGGGAGAUAGCUGGUUCUCCCCGAAAGCUAUUUAGGUAGCGCCUCGUGAAUUCAUCUUCGGGGGUAGAGCACUGUUUCGGCUAGGGGGUCAUCCCGACUUACCAACCCGAUGCAAACUACGAAUACCGAAGAAUGUUAUCACGGGAGACACACGGCGGGUGCUAACGUCCGUCGUGAAGAGGGAAACAACCCAGACCGCCAGCUAAGGUCCCAAAGUCAUGGUUAAGUGGGAAACGAUGUGGGAAGGCACAGACAGCCGGAUGUUGGCUUAGAAGCAGCCAUCAUUUAAAGAAAGCGUAAUAGCUCACUGGUCGAGUCGGCCUGCGCGGAAGAUGUAACGGGGCUAAACCAUGCACCGAAGCUGCGGCAGCGACACUAUGUGUUGUUGGGUAGGGGAGCGUUCUGUAAGCCUGCGAAGGUGACCUGUGAGGGUUGCUGGAGGUAUCAGAAGUGCGAAUGCUGACAUAAGUAACGAUAAAGCGGGUGAAAAGCCCGCUCGCCGGAAGACCAAGGGUUCCUGUCCAACGUUAAUCGGGGCAGGGUGAGUCGACCCUAAGGCGAGGCCGAAAGGCGUAGUCGAUGGGAAACAGGUUAAUAUUCCUGUACUUGGUGUUACUGCGAAGGGGGGACGGAGAAGGCUAUGUUAGCCGGGCGACGGUUGUCCCGGUUUAAGCAUGUAGGCUGAUUAUCCAGGCAAAUCCGGAUAAUCAAGGCUGAGGUGUGAUGACGAGGCACUACGGUGCUGAAGUAACAAAUGCCCUGCUUCCGGAAAAGCCUCUAAGCAUCAGGUAACAUCAAAUCGUACCCCAAACCGACACAGGUGGUCAGGUAGAGAAUACCAAGGCGCUUGAGAGAACUCGGGUGAAGGAACUAGGCAAAAUGGUGCCGUAACUUCGGGAGAAGGCACGCUGGUGUGUAGGUGAAGUCCCUGCGGAUGGAGCUGAGACCAGUCGAAGAUACCAGCUGGCUGCAACUGUUUAUUAAAAACACAGCACUGUGCAAACACGAAAGUGGACGUAUACGGUGUGACGCCUGCCCGGUGCCGGAAGGUUAAUUGAUGGGGUUAUCCGUAAGGAGAAGCUCUUGAUCGAAGCCCCGGUAAACGGCGGCCGUAACUAUAACGGUCCUAAGGUAGCGAAAUUCCUUGUCGGGUAAGUUCCGACCUGCACGAAUGGCGUAAUGAUGGCCAGGCUGUCUCCACCCGAGACUCAGUGAAAUUGAACUCGCUGUGAAGAUGCAGUGUACCCGCGGCAAGACGGAAAGACCCCGUGAACCUUUACUAUAGCUUGACACUGAACAUUGAGCCUUGAUGUGUAGGAUAGGUGGGAGGCUUUGAAGCGUGGACGCCAGUCUGCGUGGAGCCAACCUUGAAAUACCACCCUUUAAUGUUUGAUGUUCUAACGUUGGCCCCUGACCGGGGUUGCGGACAGUGUCUGGUGGGUAGUUUGACUGGGGCGGUCUCCUCCCAAAGCGUAACGGAGGAGCACGAAGGUUAGCUAAUCCUGGUCGGACAUCAGGAGGUUAGUGCAAUGGCAUAAGCUAGCUUGACUGCGAGCGUGACGGCGCGAGCAGGUGCGAAAGCAGGUCAUAGUGAUCCGGUGGUUCUGAAUGGAAGGGCCAUCGCUCAACGGAUAAAAGGUACUCCGGGGAUAACAGGCUGAUACCGCCCAAGAGUUCAUAUCGACGGCGGUGUUUGGCACCUCGAUGUCGGCUCAUCACAUCCUGGGGCUGAAGUAGGUCCCAAGGGUAUGGCUGUUCGCCAUUUAAAGUGGUACGCGAGCUGGGUUUAGAACGUCGUGAGACAGUUCGGUCCCUAUCUGCCGUGGGCGCUGGAGAAUUGAGGGGGGCUGCUCCUAGUACGAGAGGACCGGAGUGGACGCAUCACUGGUGUUCGGGUUGUCAUGCCAAUGGCACUGCCCGGUAGCUAAAUGCGGAAGAGAUAAGUGCUGAAAGCAUCUAAGCACGAAACUUGCCCCGAGAUGAGUUCUCCCUGAGACUUUAAGUCUCCUGAAGGAACGUUAAAGACGAUGACGUUGAUAGGCCGGGUGUGUAAGCGCAGCGAUGCGUUGAGCUAACCGGUACUAAUGAACCGUGAGGCUUAACCUUACAACGCCGAAG
rnacentral:rRNA from 1 species